UAUAUUGCUAAUAAUGUAUUACAUUUUUAAAAUCAUUUUAAAUAAUUGCAAGAAAAAAAAAGCAUUAGCUAUGGUCAGUAUGAGUGAAUCACCACAUACAACAGUUCCUGUAAAUGUGCUGUGUCUCAGUUGUAACCUGCUGAAAAUACCCUCCCUCUCCUUAAAUCAUAAUUGUUACAUUUUCAGUUUGAAGAUUGAGCAAAAAUGUACCAGUGGUUUUCAGACAAGCCAAAUUUGGCAGGAUAACCGCGAACCUGGCAACUCUGGGGAAAAGCGUUCUGUGAUUGGACUGCAAGAGCAGAAGAUUUAGUCAAACAAGUAUCAGCAGUUACAGCGCGAUAGGGCGGGACUAUGCUUUAGAUGAUGUUCGGAGAAAAGACGCUAAAAUUGGCUCUCAGAUUGAAUGAACUGAAUGAAAUAUACAGGUUAUGGUUUGCCCUCGUUUCUUGGACGGAGGGACCAAUGCAGUGAGCACUGUGUCAACCAGCUGGAUACCUGACUCUGACCCAACAGAAACCUCCCUGCAGUCCUUCUAAAGUUAUCUGGCAAGGUGAAACUGGGGAAGGAAGGCACCAUCACUGUCUUAGCCCAUUGUUGGAAGACUGCAAAAGCACAAGCUACAGCCAGUGGGACGGCACGAGUGCUACUGAUGGAUCUCUUUAAUGUUGAUGUUUUUCUGAACUUUAAGCAUACCUUUAUCUGUUUUUGUAUUAUACAUAUAGUAGUGUAUGGUAGUAUAUAUUCUUGAAUUUAUAGUGAAGUGUAUUGUUAAAUAUAUAAUAAAAUAAAUUGUGAUGUGUGGUAAUAGAUGGUAUGUGUAUUAUUGAUAGUAAUAUAUUAAAAUAUAUUCUUGAAUACAUAGUGAAGUGUAUUGUUCAAAAUAUAAAGUACAAUAUAUAGUACACUGCAAAAUAUGUGGUAAUAAAUGGUACAUAAUAAUUGAUAAGUCAUGUUCAUAUGUUGCCAUUGCUGUUACAGUUACCAUUUUAGCUAUAUUGGUAUCUGCACAUUCGACCAGUCAGUCAGUCAAUCUACAUUUUAAAUUUAACAGUUGAGAGUCUUAAACCAAUAGAAAAUAAAACUGCUUUAAUUCAAAA